rnacentral:rRNA from 1 species
UUGACCUCGGAUCAGGUAGGGAUACCCGCUGAACUUAAGCAUAUCAAUAAGCGGAGGAAAAGAAACCAACAGGGAUUGCCUCAGUAACGGCGAGUGAAGCGGCAACAGCUCAAAUUUGAAAUCUGGCUCUUUCAGGGUCCGAGUUGUAAUUUGUAGAAGAUGCUUCGAGUGUUAGCCUGGUCUAAGUUCCUUGGAACAGGACGUCAUAGAGGGUGAGAAUCCCGUAUGUGACUAGUGCUCUCGCUCAUGUGAAGCUCUUUCGACGAGUCGAGUUGUUUGGGAAUGCAGCUCAAAAUGGGUGGUAAAUUUCAUCUAAAGCUAAAUAUUGGCCAGAGACCGAUAGCGCACAAGUAGAGUGAUCGAAAGAUGAAAAGCACUUUGGAAAGAGAGUUAAACAGUACGUGAAAUUGUUGAAAGGGAAGCGCUUGCAACUAGACUUGCAUGCCGUCGAUCAUCCGAGGUUUUCCCCGGUGCACUCGGCGGUGUUCAGGCCAGCAUCGGUUUAGGUGGUUGGAUAAAGGCCUUGGGAAUGUAGCUUCUUUCGGGGAGUGUUAUAGCCCUCGGUGCAAUGCAGCCUACCUGGACCGAGGACCGCGCUUCGGCUAGGAUGCUGGCGUAAUGGUUGUAAGCGACCCGUCUUGAAACACGGACCAAGGAGUCUAACAUCUAUGCGAGUGUUUGGGUGUCAAACCCAUACGCGUAAUGAAAGUGAACGGAGGUGAGAACCCUUAAGGGUGCAUCAUCGACCGAUCCUGAUGUCUUCGGAUGGAUUUGAGUAAGAGCAUAGCUGUUGGGACCCGAAAGAUGGUGAACUAUGCCUGAAUAGGGUGAAGCCAGAGGAAACUCUGGUGGAGGCUCGCAGCGGUUCUGACGUGCAAAUCGAUCG